UACUACGCCGGGAGAGGAGCAUCUUGUACGAGAUAACUUCGAUUUGCUAGAACACAUAGCGUGGACAUACACUUAUAUGUGUUUCUCGUCAGAUGACGCUGCGGCGUGCCUAUCCAUGCAGUCGAGCGACAGAUGAGAGCUGCUCUCUGAUGUAGCGCGACGGUGAGUUACACGUGGGUAACCUACCUAUAGACUGGAUACUCCGGGAAACCGGGGCUAAUACCGGAUAUAUUUGAACCGCAUGGUUCAAUAGUGAAAGACGGUUCGGCUGUCACUUAUAGAUGGACCCGCGCCGUAUUAGCUAGUUGGUAAGGUAACGGCUUACCAAGGCGACGAUACGUAGCCGACCUGAGAGGGUGAUCGGCCACACUGGAACUGAGACACGGUCCAGACUCCUACGGGAGGCAGCAGUAGGGAAUCUUCCGCAAUGGGCGAAAGCCUGACGGAGCAACGCCGCGUGAGUGAUGAAGGUCUUCGGAUCGUAAAACUCUGUUGUUAGGGAAGAACAAAUUUGUUAGUAACUGAACAAGUCUUGACGGUACCUAACCAGAAAGCCACGGCUAACUACGUGCCAGCAGCCGCGGUAAUACGUAGGUGGCAAGCGUUAUCCGGAAUUAUUGGGCGUAAAGCGCGCGUAGGCGGUUUCUUAAGUCUGAUGUGAAAGCCCACGGCUCAACCGUGGAGGGUCAUUGGAAACUGGGAAACUUGAGUGCAGAAGAGGAGAGUGGAAUUCCAUGUGUAGCGGUGAAAUGCGCAGAGAUAUGGAGGAACACCAGUGGCGAAGGCGGCUCUCUGGUCUGUAACUGACGCUGAUGUGCGAAAGCGUGGGGAUCAAACAGGAUUAGAUACCCUGGUAGUCCACGCCGUAAACGAUGAGUGCUAAGUGUUAGGGGGUUUCCGCCCCCUUAGUGCUGCAGCUAACGCAUUAAGCACUCCGCCUGGRGACGUACGACCGCAAGGUUGAAACUCAAAGGAAUUGACGGGGACCCGCACAAGCGGUGGAGCAUGUGGUUUAAUUCGAAGCAACGCGAAGAACCUUACCAAAUCUUGACAUCCUUUGACCGCUCUAGAGAUAGAGUCUUCCCCUUCGGGGGACAAAGUGACAGGUGGUGCAUGGUUUGUCGUCAGCUCGUGUCGUGAGAUGUUGGGUUAAGUCCCGCAACGAGCGCAACCCUUUAAGCUUAGUUGCCAUCAUUAAGUUGGGCACUCUAGUUGACUGCCGUGACAAACCGGAGAUGUGGGGAUGACGUCAAAUCAUCAUGCCCCUUAUGAUUGGGCUACACACGUGCUACAUGAUAAUACAAACGCAAGCGAUCGCGAGGCAGCAAUCGAUAACUAUCUCAGUUCGAAUUGAAGUCUGGCACUCGACUUACAUGGAGCCUGAUUGCU
rnacentral:rRNA from 1 species